UUUUUUCUGCGACGUUUUUUUUAGUUUCGGAUAGUUAGGGGAACUCCUGUGUCGCGGCGGGAGCACGCUAGAGUCUCUAGUGUCGCGGCGGAGGGGAGAUAGCGGUUGAGGCUGCAUGCUAGAACGGCGGCGGCUGGGUCUCCUCUGCAGCGGGCGCCUGCAGGCCCUAGCGGCGGCGCCUGAAUUCCCUAGUUGCAGCGGCUGGAGGGUCUCCUCUGCGGCGGCGGCGGCUGGAGACUCCCCUCUGCGGCGGCGGUGGAGGCGAUUUGGGAUCCGUAGGUGGUGGCACGAGGGCGGCAGCCCAAGGCGGACGCAAGCGGUGGUACGCUAGCGGAAGGAGGGAGUCGAAGAAAAGAGAUGCGAGACAGUCCGACGUUGUCGGAUUCAAAGAUAAAAGAUAGACCCGAGGUGACCGUCAUCAUCCUACGAGUAACCGUUGGGUUCCGCAGUACCAGAGUACCUUACCUGUAGUACCCCGAAUAAUCCUUGAGACUCAAGUCGCCCGUGGUACGGCUUUCUCCAGUUAGAGAAGGUUAUGUGUUAACGACUCCAUACAUAGUUACGGAUUUCCAAUUUUUUCUGGGUCCAAUGUGGUAUACCAAAUCCAACGAGUGGAACCACCGACUGAUCCGCAAGUUUUUAGAAUCACUCUCAUAUUUCCUGUAACAACUACCACGUUAUUACCUUGUGUUGUUCAACACACACACACACACACACAGCGUGCUGAACCCUCAGAUGUAGAUUCUCAAGGAAAGUCAAAAGAUAGUAUUUGUAAAGAAAUAUUUUCAAUACAACCUGUGAAUAGAAGAGAAAUGAAUAGCAAAGCACCCUGAUGCUUUUUCAAGUAGACACACAUUGAUGUUCCAAGAGCUUCAGGCGGGAGAGUAACUGUCCCACUUUCAACACCUUAAAAACGAAAUUGACAGACCUCAUUCUACUGUCCUGUAUGUUUCUACGUAAGUUCAACUUCUAAGUCUCAACGUUCCGUCCGUGUCAAUUGUCCCUAUUCUUUGAUAUCUUCUAAAUAGUUUGGUCUAUAUACCCGAACCAAUACGUGACUUAUUAACACCUCCUAGAGUCUCACAAUGUGUUAAAUAGUUGUUCUCGUCUCUGAGAUUAGACUACUACAUCCUGUCGAAAUUACACUGUCUCCUAAUACCACCAGCUACCUAACACGUGGGCAAUCAUCUGAUUCUUUCCUUGUAAUAAAUACCUUGUGUUACUAUAAGUCUCGUCGGGACGUGAUACACUCUAAAUCUUCAACCAUGACGGCCGCCUACGUAGGUAGACGAUUAGAGGACCGUGGCGCAUCUGCCUCGGUUUGCUCAACCCCGGAGGUCGGCCGACCAUCACCUGUUGUUGUGGCCCAAACAAUUAAUGAGUUGUUCAGUGUCUAACUAGAGAAAAAACUAAUCAAACCACACCUAAUAGUCCGGACGGCGCGUUAGUAUCUAAAUAGAAAACGAAAUACACCCACCUGUCUUUGUGGGAAAGAUUUCAAAACAUCCAUAACAUUACUUCGUGUCAUUGUGUGAGGUCGUAAGUAAGAAACGAACUAUAAUCGUUUGUUACAUUUUAUUGGUUCGAGUGUUGUAAGAUUUCGCCAGAUAAUCGAUGAGGUCGUCUGUUGUCUGUCUUUCUUCAUUCGUCAUAAACUAAACGAGUAUGGGCACCUCCGUAGCUUAAGACGGGUUUCAAACAGCGUUGUGAACACCAGUCGCCGCUCCUACUCGUGGGUGUGGGCGAGGAACAACGGCCGGAGACGUAGGAGGAGGGAGCUUCGCCCAGAUACGCCCCUCAACUAGAUCUUAUAGGAUAAUAAUCUAUAUUGUUUAUCCACUGUUCUUUAUUUGUUCUUGAUACAUCAUGUUAUAUACACAGUGUGUCAUAUGAAACUUUUACACAUUAAACUCUAAGACUAUAUCUACACCCGGACAUUGUGUGGAACUUGUACGUGAUUUUUAACAACAAAUGUCAGACUAAAGAUUUGGACUACUUUUGGGG
rnacentral:rRNA from 1 species